GAAACGGGUGAUGUUCCCCCUCUGCACCCCUUGGGAUUUGGGAGGGCGGCUGAAGUCCUGGGCUUUUCCCGCAAUCUCAGUCCCUGUAGGGGACCCAGAUAUCUCGUAGAGGAUGCCGAGCUGCCUCCCCCUAGACCCUUGCGGGCUCCCGUGGGAGCUCCUACUGGCCACGACCGUCUACUGUGCCCCUCUCGGGCAAAAGUUCCCCCUCGCUGUAAGAAGAACCUUCCCAUGCAGCUCGAAGACCCAGCUCCCAAAGGCCAAGACCUUUUGCUUGAGCCAUCGGUAGCUCAAGCUGUGCCUGGACAGGAUCCUCCACUGGUGAUCCUGCCCCAACACAGAUUGACCAAGGCCCACUGUUUAACCUGGCCGUGCAGGCCUGGCUGGUUGCCGCUUUUUGGAGCCGAGAAGGAAUUUUCCCCUGGGAGGUCUCUCGAUCCCCAGGUUUUUUGCCUUCUCUGCACGGCCUUCCUCUUGAGCUCUGCAAGCGCCUUGGCUUGACGCUGAAGAAGAGUCAACCAGUGGGUCUUUCCCCCUCCCGCCCUUCCCCCCGCCAAUAAAAUAUAAAUCAAUCUGAA